rnacentral:rRNA from 1 species
GUGGGCAAUCUGCCCUGCACUCUGGGACAAGCCCUGGAAACGGGGUCUAAUACCGGAUACUGAUCACUGCAGGCAUCUGUGGUGUUCGAAAGCUCCGGCGGUGCAGGAUGAGCCCGCGGCCUAUCAGCUUGUUGGUGAGGUAAUGGCUCACCAAGGCGACGACGGGUAGCCGGCCUGAGAGGGCGACCGGCCACACUGGGACUGAGACACGGCCCAGACUCCUACGGGAGGCAGCAGUGGGGAAUAUUGCACAAUGGGCGCAAGCCUGAUGCAGCGACGCCGCGUGAGGGAUGACGGCCUUCGGGUUGUAAACCUCUUUCAGCAGGGAAGAAGCGAAAGUGACGGUACCUGCAGAAGAAGCGCCGGCUAACUACGUGCCAGCAGCCGCGGUAAUACGUAGGGCGCGAGCGUUGUCCGGAAUUAUUGGGCGUAAAGAGCUCGUAGGCGGCUUGUCACGUCGGUUGUGAAAGCCCGGGGCUUAACCCCGGGUCUGCAGUCGAUACGGGCAGGCUAGAGUUCGGUAGGGGAGAUCGGAAUUCCUGGUGUAGCGGUGAAAUGCGCAGAUAUCAGGAGGAACACCGGUGGCGAAGGCGGAUCUCUGGGCCGAUACUGACGCUGAGGAGCGAAAGCGUGGGGAGCGAACAGGAUUAGAUACCCUGGUAGUCCACGCCGUAAACGGUGGGCACUAGGUGUGGGCAACAUUUCCACGUUGUCCGUGCCGCAGCUAACGCAUUAAGUGCCCCGCCUGGGGAGUACGGCCGCAAGGCUAAAACUCAAAGGAAUUGACGGGGGC